UCUAAACAGUUUUGAGCAGGAAGGCUUGUUCUAGACUUCCCUGUUUCUUAUUUAAAUCCCUUUCCUUUUCUCUCUGGAAUAGAAAUUGCAGUAAUAACGGUACAUGAAAGAUUGUUGAAUAAAUGCUGCUGAGUACUGUUAAAUGACUCCUUAAUAGUUCACCCCAGGCUCCAGGGUGCUGUGAAAGAUAGAGGAAGAUUAGAGACACAGACACAGAGGAAAAGGUCAUGUGAAGAUGGAGGCAGACAUUCAAGUGAUGAUUCUAUAAGCCAAGGAAUACCAAAGAUCGCUGGCAGCCAUCAGAAGCUAGGAGAGAGACAGGGAACAGAUGUCUUCAGAAGGAAUCAAUCCUGCCAAAACCUUGAUUUUGGACUUGUAGCCUGCAGAACUGUGAAAGAAUAGAUUUUUGUUGUUUUAAGCCACCUGGUUGGUGGCAAUUUGUUAUAGCAGCUCUGAAAAAUUAAUAAAAGCUGUAAU